rnacentral:tRNA from 1 species
GCCAGGAAGGCCGUCGCGGUCGAGGCGCCAGUCUGAAAAGCUGGACAAGCACGUUCAACUCGUGCUCCUGGCACCA